UACGUAGGGGGCAAGCGUUGUCCGGAAUCAUUGGGCGUAAAGCGCGUGUAGGCGGCUCGAUAAGUCUGCUGUGAAAGUCCAGGGCUCAACCCUCGGAUGCCGGUGGAUACUGUCGGGCUUGAGUACGGAAGAGGCGAGUGGAAUUCCUGGUGUAGCGGUGAAAUGCGCAGAUAUCAGGAGGAACACCAAUUGCGAAGGCAGCUCGCUGGGACGUUACUGACGCUGAGACGCGAAAGCGUGGGGAGCAAACAGG
rnacentral:rRNA from 1 species